CUCAGUCCCAUAUAUGUGCCAGGGAUACAUCCCAAGCAGGAAAGCUCUCUGCAAGAUGUUUCCCAGCUCAUUAUUUCACUCAGUUGAUUAAGAGGAGAGGUACCAGCAGCGAGCUCCUAACCAAGACACAGGGGCUGACCAAAGCACAUGCAGAUUUCAAGAUAUUGUGAAGACUGCUGGAGAACCCAGUGACUUUGCAGCUUAUUUUUGCAUAUCUACAGGCCCUGAGUGAAGGAAAAUGAAGUCCAUAGGGCACAACACACCUCUGCAAGGCAAAGCUGCUCCCACUCCUGUAGCCACGAGGACAGGCACAGGCAUCCAGCUGGCUCUGGUGUGCCCACUGCCUCUUCAACCAAGACCUACAUGUAUUUGGAGUUUGUACCCAGGUCUAGCAGCUGAUGGACCUCCAAGCUGUCCGUGUGGGAUAUGGAGCUGGUUGGCAUACAGAGAUUUCUACCUUAUAAAUCCAAGGUCUUCUCCUUUAUCACGUUGCUUCACAACGGAGAUAAGUGUGUCCUACAAACACAUUUGUGUUCAUCUGAAUCUUUUUAUGGAUUUGCUUUGACUAUAUUCAUUCCAUUUUUGUGUUUGCUUUCUACAGUUAUCCUAGGGAACACAUUUUCUGGUAGGAAUACUCACAAGUGUGAAUGCAGCGUGAAAACACAUUUCAAACUCAUAAUAACAACCACUUACUUCACAAAAUAAUCCCAGAAAGUUACAUUCAGCCACUUGGGAACAGAAACAUAUCACAUCAUCAGAAUAUCAACAUCUCCCAAGGAUCUGGCCACAAAUGAGACACAGAGCACAGAUUAUUCCAAUAAAUUAUUUAGCCAAUAAGUCUGAACAAUAGGUCCAUAUGUAAAUAUUGUGAUCUCUUCUCAGAUAAUCUAUGAAGAAAAAUUAUUCAGUUAUGUGUCAGAUGAAUUAUUCAACCAAAGGCUUGGAAAAUAACUGAGAUUCAAAACAUUUGUUCGUACAGAAAUUCUCCUUUUUAUCAAUUAAUCUUGUUAGGAAGUUGGCUUCUGGCAUAGGAAAAACUGAAAGAAAAUGAAGCAGAACGGUUUCUUGCUGAAGAGCACUGAAUAUAUGUAAACAACAUCCUUGGUUUAAAUGUAGAGAAGGAGUCUUUGCAAGCUAGCAACUUUCUUAAAUAUUUCUUUUCCUUGAGUUUGUAAAGUUCUGCCGAGGAUGCAACACCUCAAAAUUUCUGCAGAGAUGCUCGAGGUCAUAGUUAACACGUUUCUCAAAGAUACCCAGUAAAUUAGUAAAACAGUUCUUCACACAGCUCCAUUUGUUUCCUCUGCUGGGUCAUGAACCACAUUUCCUCCUUGCACCUCUCCUGAGUUGUAUCACAGCACCCCACUAAGGAAAAUAUUAAUACAUAUCUACAUACUCUCUCUUUCAAAACCACAUUCAAAUGCUUCUCCAAGAAAAGCAGCCUGUAUCCCCCCCUGAGCAUCGAAGUCUGCCAUCCGGUAGGUUUGUACUUUAUAGUCAUUUAGAGGAUAUUAAAUCUUCCUUUGUAUGCAGAGAAUUAAGUGGUGGAGGGGCUCCGUAUUCUAUUUAAAAAAAAUAAAAUAAUAUAAAAGGGAGGAAAAAAAAACAAAAACAGUUUGGAAAGUCAUUGUGUCCAGAGAAGAAUAUUAGAGGGGCAUUAAGUGGAAAGACAAAAGGCAAGCUAGCAUCAACUCCUCGGAAAGCUGUAAAUCAUUCUGACUCCUCGGGUGGUUGGUUGACUUCAUUGUUACUUGGGUAAUUAUUGUCCUUCAUCAGAACCUAAGCUUCUAAACAGAUUUUGAAACAAAAUCAUCCCAAAUGAGCAGCCAGGAAGACCUACUGGUGUCAAGGGGGAUUCGUGGAAAAAAAAUCUUCAAGUAGAGCCUUUAAGCAAACCCAUAACUUUCCAUCUACAUUGCUAAGUUGCUUAUUUUUAGAAAAUUGGUGCUUUUUUAGGCUGUUUCUUUUUUUUGGUCACUGAGGAAUUCUUGAAGGUAGCUGGUUUCUAAUAGAGAAAAAGCCCCCAGACAAGGUUUUUGAUUUACCUUUGGACUUUUGAUGAGCGUGUAACCUGGAGGCUUAGCCCCCUCCAAACCUGCUGUUGCAGCUGCUGGCAGGAGCAUCUGCCUGCGUGUUCUGUCUCUCUUGAGAGGUGGAGGCUGGCUGCAGAUGGAUCAGGCAAACCCAAAGAGAGAGUGAAGAGCCUGCAAAUAUACGGGCAAGCCAGAAAUUUGGGGGACUUGUGUAAGAUUUGAUAAUCUAAAGCAAAGUGCAGUGAUUGAGCAUACACUACUUGCAAAGACAUAGGCCAGCAGCUUCCAAAACGGCUUCAUGGCCCUAGAAGGCUCAACCUCAGGUAGGUUCAGGUUAAUUUCAUUGUGAUUCUGAUAUUUGGGGUUGUUUUAAGCAUUCUGUCUGUGAGGAUUCAAGAAACAAAAAAGUUGAGACCGUUGUGAUGGACAGCAUGACCAUGAAAGGCAAAAGAGCUCUAAAAUUGAAACCCACCGUACCACCUGCACUGGGGAAGUGUCCAGUGCCCUACAGAGGAGCCCUGCA
rnacentral:lncRNA from 1 species